rnacentral:rRNA from 1 species
UACGUAGGGGGCAAGCGUUGUCCGGAAUCAUUGGGCGUAAAGAGCGUGUAGGCGGCCCGGUAAGUCCGCUGUGAAAGUCCAGGGCUCAACCCUGGGAUGCCGGUGGAUACUGUCGGGCUCGAGUCCGGAAGAGGAGUGUGGAAUUCCUGGUGUAGCGGUGAAAUGCGCAGAUAUCGAGGAGGACACCAAUGGCGAAGGCAGCACUCUGGGACGUGACUGACGCUGAGACGCGAAAGCGUGGGGAG